CUGCAGCUUAUUGAGCCAACCAGUCUUGCUGCAGUGCGGUUCUGGUGUGCAAAUGCUGCAGACAGUAUCUCACAACAUGCACAAUGAAAGAGUUAGUGUUCUUUACACUGAGACACUA